CCUACGGGUGGCAGCAGUCGAGAAUUUUUCUCAAUGGGCGAAAGCCUGAAGGAGCGACGCCGCGUGGGGGAUGAAGGGUUUCGAUCCGUAAACCCCUGUCAUUUGCGAACUUGUAGUGAAAGAGGAAGGGACGGCUAACUCUGUGCCAGCAGCCGCGGUAAUACAGAGGUCCCAAGCGUUGUUCGGAUUCACUGGGCGUAAAGGGUGCGUAGGUGGCAUGGUAAGUUUGAUGUGAAAUCUCCGGGCUUAACCCGGAAAAGGCAUUGAAUACUACUGUGCUGGAGGUUUGGAGGGGGGACUGGAAUUCUCGGUGUAGCAGUGAAAUGCGUAGAUAUCGAGAGGAACACCAGUGGCGAAGGCGAGUCCCUGGACACCCUGACACUGAGGCACGAAAGCUAGGGGAGCAAACAGGAUUAGAUACCCGUGUAGUC
rnacentral:rRNA from 1 species